CGGGGGCUCGGCGGGUCCGGCCGCCGCUCGCGCCCCGCCCGCGCCGCGCCGGGGCCGCCGGUCAGCGGCGGGAGCCGCCGGGCCGUCCGCACCGCCGCCAACUUCGGGGAGAGCGAGCCCAGCGCGGAGCCGAACCCGGGAGCGCCCCGCCAGACACAAAGCUGCCAGCCAAGAAGAGCAGUCAGCACAGGGGGACCUUCUGAAGAAGCACUUAUCCUGAAUUCACCACCACCACAAAUGUAGCACAUCCUGGGUCUGGAGCAGCGCAGUCCUCAGCGAUGAAGACCUGUGAGCAUGUUUAAUACAGUGGAAAAGACAAGGUUAUUUAUAUCUCACAAAGCUGCUUACCCAGCCUUAGAUGUGCCCAGCCAUAGUGCAGCUGCAGGAAUCCAUCAGGAGGACACCUGAGAUUCCUCUCCAUUAAAAGUGAUGGAUCUAACACAGCCAA